CACCGAUAGUGAACCAGUACCGUGAGGGAAAGGUGAAAAGCACCGCGGGAGCGGAGUGAAAUAGAACCUGAAACCAGCCGUCUACAAGCAGUUGAAGCGCUAUAGGUUCGUCCUAGCGCGACAGCGUGCCUUUUGCAGAAUGAACCGGCGAGUCACAUUCACUGGCGAAGGUUAAGGACCCGUAGGUCCGGAGCCGUAGGGAAACCGAGUCCGAAUAGGGCGCUGCCAUUUAUGGCUAGUCAGUGAGAGUGGACCCGAAACCAGGUGAUCUACCCAUGGUCAGGUUGAAGGUCGGAUAGUCUCCGACUGGAGGACCGAACCGGUGUCAGUUGAAGAUGGCUCGGAUGAACUGUGGGUAGCGGAGAAAUUCCAAUCGAACCUGGAGAUAGCUGGUUCUCCCCGAAAUGCAUUUAGGUGCAGCCUUACGGGUUCCGUGUCGGAGGUAGAGCACUGAAUGGUCUAGGGGCCUUACCGGGUUACCGAAAUCAAUCAAACUCCGAAUGCCGCCACGCCAACCGUAGGAGUGAGACGAUGGGGGAUAAGCUUCAUCGUCAAAAGGGAAACAGCCCAGACCCUCCGCUAAGGUCCCUAAACCGGGCUAAGUGUGAAAGGAAGUGGGAGCACGCAGACAGCCAGGAUGUUGGCUUAGAAGCAGCCACCAUUGAAAGAGUGCGUAACAGCUUACUGGCCGAAUGUGGUCCUGCGCCGAUAAUGUAAGGGGGCUCACGCCCGGUACCGAAGCGAGGGAUACAGUCUUUGACUGUAUGGUAGGGGAGCGUUCCGUAGUAGGUUGAAGCCGUACCGUAAGGAACGGUGGACGAGGCGGAAGUGAGAAUGCCGGUAUAAGUAGCGAGAAGACGGGUGAGAAUCCCGUCCGCCGAAAGCCUAAGGUUUCUUAAGGAAGGCUCGUCCUCUUGAGGUUAGUCGGUCCUAAGGUGAACCCGAAUGGGAUAGCCGAUGGCUGCACGGUAGAUAUUCCGUGACCGGACGCCCUGCGUUACGAGCGAAGGGGGGACGCGCUUUGAAGGUCACCGCCCGGGAUUGGAAGUCCGGGUUCUGCACUAGGCUGGUCCGAUAGGUAAAUCCGUCGGGCAACACAGUCGGGUGCGGAGGUAGAGAAGGGGUAACACCUGACUUGAACGGGACUGGAGAAGCGCCGAGAAAAGCCUCUAGCCAGUAGGGCGCCGACCGUACCGCAAACCGACACAGGUAGGCGGGUAGAGGAUACCCAGGCGCGCGAGAGAACUCUCGUUAAGGAACUAGGCAAGCUGACCCCGUAACUUCGGGAGAAGGGGUGCCCUGCUCGGGAAGGACUGUAACGUCCGACUUUGGUGGGGUCGCAGUGACAGGGCUCGAGCGACUGUUUAACAAAAACACAGGUCUCUGCUAAGUCGAAAGACGCAGUAUAGGGGCUGACGCCUGCCCAACGCCAGAAGGUUAAAGGGAGAGGUCAGGGGCGCAAGCCUUAAAGCUUUGAACUGAAGCCCUGGUGAGUGGCGGCCGUAACUAUAAC
rnacentral:rRNA from 1 species